rnacentral:miRNA from 1 species
UUCUCAGGCUACUAUUUAGGUUGGUGCAAAAGUAACUGCGGUUUUUGCCAUUGGCAAAUAGCGCAUGGCGAAAACCGCAAUUACUUUUGCACAAACCUAAUAC